GACGAACGCUGGCGGCGUGCUUAACACAUGCAAGUCGAACGGAAAGGCCCUGCUUUUGUGGGGUGCUCGAGUGGCGAACGGGUGAGUAACACGUGAGUAACCUGCCCUUGACUUUGGGAUAACUUCAGGAAACUGGGGCUAAUACCGGAUAGGAGCUCCUGCUGCAUGGUGGGGGUUGGAAAGUUUCGGCGGUUGGGGAUGGACUCGCGGCUUAUCAGCUUGUUGGUGGGGUAGUGGCUUACCAAGGCUUUGACGGGUAGCCGGCCUGAGAGGGUGACCGGCCACAUUGGGACUGAGAUGCGGCCCAGACUCCUCUGGGAGGCAGCAGUGGGGAAUAUUGCACUAUGGGCGGAAGCCUGAUGCAGCAACGCCGCGUGCGGGAUGACGGCCUUCGGGUUGUAAACCGCUUUCGCCUGUGACGAAGCGUUAGUGACGGUAAUGGGUAAAGAAGCACCGGCUAACUACGUG
rnacentral:rRNA from 1 species